UAUAAGUUCUUAUACUCAAUCAUACACAUGACAUCAAGUCAUAUUCGACUCCAAAACACUAACAAGGCUUCUUCUUGCUUCUCAAAGCUUUGAUGGUCUAGCCAAAUUCCAUAUGAGUCUUUACCUUUGUAUCUUCUAACAAGGAAACAC
rnacentral:sRNA from 1 species